rnacentral:rRNA from 1 species
AUGAACGCUGGCGGCGUGCCUAAUACAUGCCAGUCGAGCGAACAGAUGAGGAGCUUGCUCCUCUGACGUUAGCGGCGGACGGGUGAGUAACACGUGGAUAACCUACCUAUAAGACUGGGAUAACUUCGGGAAACCGGAGCUAAUACCGGAUAAUAUAUUGAACCGCAUGGUUCAAUAGUGAAAGACGGUUUUGCUGUCACUUAUAGAUGGAUCCGCGCCGCAUUAGCUAGUUGGUAAGGUAACGGCUUACCAAGGCAACGAUGCGUAGCCGACCUGAGAGGGUGAUCGGCCACACUGGAACUGAGACACGGUCCAGACUCCUACGGGAGGCAGCAGUAGGGAAUCUUCCGCAAUGGGCGAAAGCCUGACGGAGCAACGCCGCGUGAGUGAUGAAGGUCUUCGGAUCGUAAAACUCUGUUAUUGGGGAAGAACAAAUGUGUAAGUAACUAUGCACGUCUUGACGGUACCUAAUCAGAAAGCCACGGCUAACUACGUG